rnacentral:rRNA from 1 species
GACGAACGCUGGCGGCGCGCCUAACACAUGCAAGUCGAACGAGCGAGAGAGAGCUUGCUUUCUUGAGCGAGUGGCGAACGGGUGAGUAACGCGUGAGGAACCUGCCUCAAAGAGGGGGACAACAGUUGGAAACGACUGCUAAUACCGCAUAAGCCCACGGUGCCGCAUGGCACAGAGGGAAAAGGAGCAAUCCGCUUUGAGAUGGCCUCGCGUCCGAUUAGCUAGUUGGUGAGGUAACGGCCCACCAAGGCGACGAUCGGUAGCCGGACUGAGAGGUUGAACGGCCACAUUGGGACUGAGACACGGCCCAGACUCCUACGGGAGGCAGCAGUGGGGGAUAUUGCACAAUGGGGGAAACCCUGAUGCAGCGACGCCGCGUGGAGGAAGAAGGUCUUCGGAUUGUAAACUCCUGUUGUUGGGGAAGAUAAUGACGGUACCCAACAAGGAAGUGACGGCUAACUACGUG